UGGGGAAUAUUGCACAAUGGGCGCAAGCCUGAUGCAGCCAUGCCGCGUGUAUGAAGAAGGCCUUCGGGUUGUAAAGUACUUUCAGCGGGGAGGAAGGCGAUAAGGUUAAUAACCUUGUCGAUUGACGUUACCCGCAGAAGAAGCACCGGCUAACUCCGUGCCAGCAGCCGCGGGAAUCCGGAGGGUGCAAGCGUUAAUCGGAAUUACUGGGCGUAAAGCGCACGCAGGCGGUCUGUCAAGUCGGAUGUGAAAUCCCCGGGCUCAACCUGGGAACUGCAUUCGAAACUGGCAGGCUAGAGUCUUGUAGAGGGGGGUAGAAUUCCAGGUGUAGCGGUGAAAUGCGUAGAGAUCUGGAGGAAUACCGGUGGCGAAGGCGGCCCCCUGGACAAAGACUGACGCUCAGGUGCGAAGGCGUGGGGAGCAAACA
rnacentral:rRNA from 1 species